rnacentral:tRNA from 1 species
GCCAGGUUACUCAAGCGGUCAACGAGGGCAGACUGUAAAUUUGCUGGCUUCGGCCUACGUAGGUUCGAGUCCUACACCUGGCACUA